UGCCCAGCAACUCCUAUCCCUACCUACUCGGUGGUACUGGCCGGGGUACGAGUAACCUUAGGGAAGAUCGGGUAACCAACCCCCGGUGGGAACUUUGGUCGUAUGCUGACAGGGAAGG
rnacentral:ribozyme from 1 species